rnacentral:tRNA from 1 species
ACCUUUAUAAUUUAAUAUAAAAUAUUAGUCUUGUAAACUAAUUAUGGACUACCUGAAGGUUA